rnacentral:tRNA from 1 species
UGGGCCGGUAGUUCAGUUGGAUAGAAUGCCCGACUACGGAUCGGGAGGUCGUGGGUUCGACUCCUGCCCGGCCUAU